rnacentral:tRNA from 1 species
GCGAUCGUAGCUCAACUGGCAAGCGCGCCUGAGUAACGUUCUGGAGGUCGCGGGUUUAAGUCCCGCCGGCCGUC